rnacentral:rRNA from 1 species
UACAGAGGUCUCAAGCGUUGUUCGGAUUCAUUGGGCGUAAAGGGUGCGUAGGCGGCGCGGUAAGUCGGGUGUGAAAUUUCGGAGCUUAACUCCGAAACUGCAUUCGAUACUGCCGUGCUUGAGGACUGGAGAGGAGACUGGAAUUUACGGUAUAGCAGUGAAAUGCGUAGAGAUCGUAAGGAAGACCAGUGGCGAAGGCGGGUCUCUGGACAGUUCCUGACGCUGAGGCACGAAGGCCAGGGGAGCAAACGGG